rnacentral:rRNA from 1 species
GUCUAUGGCCAUACCAUCCUGAACGCGCCCAAUCUCAUCUGAUCUCGGAAGCUAAGCAGAGUGGAGCUUGGUUAGUACUUGGAUGGGAGAUAAAUGUAAGAGCAUGUACAAGUCAACAUAAAUU